rnacentral:sRNA from 2 species
CCAAGGAAGACGUAACAAUUAUAGGCAGAACUACACGCCUACUAACGCGCCAACUGCACCAGCUGCCCCUGCGGACGCCAUGGAUUGGACCCCUCAUGUGAGCACAGGACGACCAAAGAUACCUGGCCUCUCUGGACGAGAAGUUACUGAUCGAAUCGCCCGAGGCGUCUGCAUUCGUUGCAACAAGCCAGGGCACUUCGCAAGCCAGUGCACCAAUGCAGUAGUUCCUGCCUCUACGCCGCG